rnacentral:sRNA from 1 species
CGUCCACUCUAUCGAAUCCACACAUACGCCGUCACGCAUGGCUGGGUGCCCUUGGUGGGUUGCCAUGCGGGGCGUAUGGAGGCUCAAC